rnacentral:rRNA from 1 species
UGGGGGAUAUUGCACAAUGGGCGCAAGCCUGAUGCAGCGACGCCGCGUGUGGGAAGACGGCCCUCGGGUUGUAAACCACUGGCUUUGGGGACGAUAAUGACGGUACCCAAGGAGGAAGCUCCGGCUAACUACGUGCCAGCAGCCGCGGUAAUACGUAGGGAGCGAGCGUUGUCCGGAAUUACUGGGUGUAAAGGGAGCGUAGGCGGGAGUGCAAGUUGAAUGUUUAAUCUAUGGGCUCAACCCAUAUCAGCGUUCAAAACUGCAUUUCUUGAGUGAAGUAGAGGUUGGCGGAAUUCCUAGUGUAGCGGUGAAAUGCGUAGAUAUUAGGAGGAACACCAGUGGCGAAGGCGGCCAACUGGGCUUUUACUGACGCUGAGGCUCGAAAGCGUGGGGAGCAAACAGGAUUAGAUACCCUGGUAGU